GGUUCGGUGGCGGAGUGGUCCGCGUCUGCUUUAUCUGCAGAUGAUUUCAAUAGCGCUUAAUGCAGAGUACGCUCGUUCGAUUCGGGCUCGAGCCG